GUUCAGACUAUUUCCUGUUUGCCCAUUAUAAGGCUUGUGAUUGGGUUAAGAAAAAUAAACAUCAUUCUAUGCGACAACGCAUUACUUUAUGGAGAGCUUACAACCUACUAGCUACGUUCUGCCUUAAGAACAAGUGGUGCAACCGAAUUAAGUAAAGAGUUAGUUAUAAUCUAGCUAGUAGUUACUAAGCCUCUAGUUUGGACUUUACGUCCCAGUUUAAGUAAGAACUUACGAAUGACUGGUGCAACCCUACCCAGAUGCAGAGCGAUCUUUAUAACAUACACGGACAUACAGCUGUUUGCCCUAGGGCAAUACUUCCGUUUUUUAUAAGUUGCGGAAGAGCGCCACCUGGUGGAUAAUAGCAGUAUUGCAGAUUGACGAGAUAACUCGUUAAUGGCGGGGAAAGAGUUAAAGUAGUUUUGUUAUGAUCCUGUUCUGUGUUUCCCCUGUGUUGACUGUUAUUUUGAAGUCCUGUUCGUGUCUACCAUAUCUGUAGUCCUUUCGUUCAUUGGUCCUUGUGUUGAUUGUUUCCCAGGUGUGUCUUGUUACCCAUGUGUAUAUAAUCCCAGUGUCUCAGUUGUCUGGUGUUGGUCGUUGAAUGUGUAAUGCCUUGUUCCUGUCUUUGUUUGCCUGUUUUGAUUGUUUUAACCUUAAUAAAUACUGCAAUUGGAUCCUCAGCCUCUGCCUGCCUGCCUUAAAUCACCCAUCAUUACAAGUUUAUUUAUAUAACAAGUAGGGCCGGGACUCGAUUAAAAAAAAAUAAUCUAAUUAAUUAGAGGCUUUGUAAUUAAUUAAUCAAAAUUAAAUCACAUUUUAAUCACAUAUAAAUAUUUGACCUGAGAACAUUGAGAAGUAAUUUUUUCACAUGGAUUUUUAGUAUACCAUGAAUAAUGACUGAAUACAUAGGCUUAAGCAACAAAAUAUUGUUUAUUUUUGUUCAACCAAGUCGUUGUACUCGGAGUCGGGCUAACGUCCACGCUAGCUGCUAUAUGUUUUCCAUUGAGAUGAUACUUGAGGCUCGAUGUGCUGCGGUGAUAUGUGAAUUCCUUGUUGCAUAGCUUAAACACAACCAUGCUCUUAUCGAAGCUUCCAUCUGUUCUUUUUUAUAAAAAAAAAAUUCCCAUCCACGGGGCCAACCAAAGCGAUCUCAUCAGCUUCUUCGUUCGUGUUCACUGUGGUUUGUUGUUGUCUGAAGUCAUGAACGCUAGUUGGUGCUCCAGUAUAAUCGGUCCGCCGAAACUCAUCCAAUGAGAAAUGUUCCGCUGUGCAAAAAUAAGUGUGAUUAAAAUGCGUUAAAAAUGUUUAACGCAUUAUUUUUUGUGUAAUUAAUUAAUCUUAAAGGGAAACCAGGCAAGUCUGCGUAAUAUUCCACAAAGUAUUGCUGAACAACACUGCAGUUUCCAUUAAGGAAAAAUAAACGAGUCCAGACUCCCGUCCAGACUCCCAAUACUGCAUGCCCGUUGUAUGUGACCCCCCACACCAUGGUGGAGGUAUCUGUAAACAGCACAGCAUACCUGGAGACCUGUUCUUAGAUACCUCCGCCUGAAAAAUGAAGUGUCUGACCAUGGGAUGAAAGCCUGGAAGCAGGUUGGUGUGAUUUGUACCCGUUGAGUGCCUCUGUGCCACACCCAUUUUUGGACUCGGCCCAAAAGUGAGUGCUGAAGUGGUCUCAUAUGGAGCAGUCUGAGCCGAGAUAUUGCCGCUGCAACCACUGUAUGCCACAGGAGCCUCUGAAAUAACUUCAGUGGGGCCACUGUUCUCAUUCCAACAAACUCAAGGAGCUCAGUAUUGACUGUACAGCUUGACUCCAAUAUCAUACCGAGAUAAGAGAUCCUCUGCAUGGGGCAAAGUCUCUUGUACCAGUUGACCGGAAGACCUAAUCGCGCUAGAGCCCUGAACACAAAGUCCCUGUGUUUGUGGAACUGCUCUCGGGAGUGUGCUAUGAUGAGUCAAGGUAGUUGAGAAUGCAAAUGCCUCAUUCUCCCUAGGGAACAAGGGUAGCCUCCACGACUUUCUUAAAGAUGCAGGGGGAGAGGGACAGCUCGAAUGGUAAGACUUUGUACUGAUAUGCCCACCCCUCAAAUGCAAAGCUGAUAAAUGGCCUGUGUCAACACUGAAAAAAGUGCACAACGCUUGUAAUGACUCUAAAGAAGUUUUUAUAUUUGAUCUAACUAAAAAAAAUACAUUUUCUGUCCAGCCAUCAGUUUUAUGUAAAAAUGUGUUUGAUUUAAAUUAAAAGUAAGUCUUGUUGGUGUAAAGUAAAUACAUUUCUGUAAAUUAAAUUAAAAAUAUUAGUUUCCAUUGUCACGUGACUUCUAACGUCAUCCGUUUGUCGUGCGUGAGGACGUUCAUCUCAAGUUCAGCUUUCCGCCAUCUUGUUAUACACUGCACCGAUAGAUGAACUCCGCAUGGUACAACGGGAUUCAAGAAAAUUGAUCGAGUGACCCUCCCCCAGAAGCGCCCACCUGCGCCGCACCCCAGGGAACGUCGAGACACCCACAUUAGCAACCCCCUAUAUAUUCGUCUGGACGGGCGGAGCCGAGCCCGGCAACACAAGUACUGCUCCACUGACAGCAGGAGAAGCGGGAGUGCCCUUCAGGACCAGCUUGGAGUUGAGCCCGCACAAGCCCAGGCCAAUCAUAUCCCAUCCCUGGAGAGACAUCAGCAAACAUUAUGACAAAGACGUUUGCCUUAGCAGACAAGAGAUUGUGGAAAACCAACCUACUUUUCAAGAACUGCAAGAAAUAUUGCCAGCUCUGUUUCUACAAAAGGAGAUUAAUGCAGAAUUGCGCAUCACGAUCUUACUUUGAAAAUCAAGAUUCAUGGCCUCUUUGGACAGACAGAGCUCUCAUGUUAUUAGGAGCAAAUGUGGAGUCCUCCAUGAAAAACUAAUGACACUAUUAAAGUUAUGGAUCAGAGUCUGCACACAGAAAUCAGAAGAGAAAGCCUGCUGAAGUGCCUGAUUUAUGUACUUUGAUGAAGAUGCAAGCUGUCUGAUCAAAGAAUAUCAGGCUGACCAGAGGGAUAAAGCGGAGCGAGUUCAAAAAGACCACAAUGGAAUUUUUUGUGAUCCGUGAAGGUGAUGCUCUUAAUCAUGCACUAAACAUUUCCAUUUUCAUUGACGGUGUGGAGUAAUAAAUGAGUUGCCCUAUGUUGCUUGUCCAUGUUUGGACUCAUUUGAACUGAACUUAAAAUAUCCUGAUGGACUCAAAUAUACCUUUAAGGCCUUUCAAAAAAAAUUUCAUGGAUAUAGACAGUAAGCAGAUGAGCCGAAGGGUGCAGAACCUCUCUUUAAAACUGCAGGACUAAAUUUGUUUCCUUUGACCCAGCUACUGAAGGUAAAAUUUUUUAAGCCUUUUAUACAACAUUAACUGUAAUACUGUUUACUAAACCUGAUUUGUUUUAUCUUGAUUAAGUUUUAUGGUUUAUCUAUCAACCAUAACUGAUUCUUAAGUGAAUUUACAUUGUA